rnacentral:rRNA from 1 species
UACGUAGGGGGCAAGCGUUGUCCGGAAUCAUUGGGCGUAAAGCGCGUGUAGGCGGCUCGAUAAGUCCGUUCUGAAAGUCCGGGGCUCAACCCCGGGAGGCGGGCGGAUACUGUCGGGCUAGAGUCCGGAAGAGGCGAGUGGAAUUCCUGGUGUAGCGGUGAAAUGCGUAGAUAUCAGGAGGAAUACCGGUGGCGAAAGCGACUCUCUGGACGGCAACUGACGCUGAGGCACGAAAGCGUGGGGAGCAAACAGG